rnacentral:rRNA from 1 species
CAGUCGACGCUUCUUUUCCACCGGAGCUUGCUCCACCGGGAAAAGAGGAGUGGCGAACGGGUGAGUAACACGUGGGUAACCUGCCCAUCAGAAGGGGAUAACACUUGGAAACAGGUGCUAAUACCGUAUAACAAUCGAAACCGCAUGGUUUCGUUUUGAAAGGCGCUUUACGGUGCCGCUGAUGGAUGGACCCGCGGUGCAUUAGCUAGUUGGUGAGGUAACGGCUCACCAAGGCCACGAUGCAUAGCCGACCUGAGAGGGUGAUCGGCCACAUUGGGACUGAGACACGGCCCAAACUCCUACGGGAGGCAGCAGUAGGGAAUCUUCGGCAAUGGACGAAAGUCUGACCGAGCAACGCCGCGUGAGUGAAGAAGGUUUUCGGAUCGUAAAACUCUGUUGUUAGAGAAGAACAAGGGUGAGAGUAACUGUUCACCCCUUGACGGUAUCUAACCAGAAAGCCACGGCUAACUACGUGCCAGCAGCCGCGGUAAUACGUAGGUGGCAAGCGUUGUCCGGAUUUAUUGNGCGUAAAGCGAGCGCAGGCGGUUUCUUAAGUCUGAUGUGAAAGCCCCCGGCUCAACCGGGGAGGGUCAUUGGAAACUGGGAGACUUGAGUGCAGAAGAGGAGAGUGGAAUUCAUGUGUAGCGGUGAAAUGCGUAGAUAUAUGGAGGAACACCAGUGGCG